UACGAGGACCCUUGAAAAUCUCUGCACCUCAGCUCUUGGCGCCGAUUGGAGAAGACCCACCUUGCGAUUUCCAUAAUCGAAGCAGCUCAAGAAGAACCCAUUCGCAUCACGAAAGCACUGACCUCACACACGUUGCAAAACCCGUUCGUGUCAGCAGAACCUGUGCGAGGUCAGUACUUUCGAAUCUCUUAAGGCAGUCAUCCAACACCAGAAGCGCAUCCACAAGAAGCAGGCCAGGUUUCAGUGCCCAAACGGGGCGCUACUUCGCAACAAAACCUAAUAUGCGUCAGUGACAGGCAUCCUCACUGAGGAACUCAGACAGGACAAAGCAAGGAGGACUGAAUCCAAAACUAGCUUGGAACACUGAAUCCAAAACUUUUGUUGCAAAUUGAAUAUGGUAGCCAUGGCAAUAUGACCUAUGAAGCACCGACGCUUAGGAGGUCGCAGUGUCCGGACACGGGACCCGAUGGGGACACGACGAGGGUCGAUUUGUUAUUACUUAAAUAUAUAAAUAAAUUAUAAAUACAUGUGAUGCGUCUCCUA